AUACGUAGGUCCCGAACGUUGCGCGAAAUUACUGGGCGUAAAGGGUCCGUAGGCGGUCUGGUAAGUGGAAGGUGAAAGCCUGGGGCUCAACUCCAGAAUUGCCUUCCAAACUGCCGGACUUGAGGCAGGGAGAGGUCGGCGGAAUUCCCGGUGUAGCUGUGAAAUGCGUAGAUAUCGGGAGGAACACCAGUGGCGAAGGCGGCCGACUGGAACUGUCCUGACGCUGAGGGACGAAAGCCAGGGGAGCGAACCGGAUUAGAAACCCUAGUAGUCC
rnacentral:rRNA from 1 species